UCCAAACAGCAAUGCUCCUGAGUUUGUGUCCCACGUCACCUUCAGUCCGCUCAGAGCAGAGGAAUCAUUUCCAUAGAGAGGAGGCUUUGCAUCGUCAGCUGAUCCUCCACUGAACUGAGAAGCUUUAUAGUCCUGUGAAUCCAACUCUGCAGGACUCAGACCCGUCAGUCCACCACAACCACCAUGACUCUCAUCACCCUCCUCAUCUGGACGCUGGCCUGCUGCAGCUUCACAGGAUGCAGCGGCCAAGUGACUGUGACUCAGCCUCCAGUCGUGACAUUUACUCCAGGAUCCACUGUCACACUGACCUGUAAAACCAACACCAGAGUUGCAACAUGUAGUUCUUUUGAUUGUAUGUCCUGGUACCAGCAGAAACCUGGACAGGCUCCACAGCUCCUAAUAUACAGGGUGAGCAAAAUCCAUUCAGGAACACCAGCUCGGUUCAGUGGCAGUGGAAGCAGCUCUGACUUCUCUUUGACCAUCAGUGGAGUUCAGAGUGAAGAUGCAGCAGUUUACUACUGUCAGAGCGUCCAUGUAGUAAGCGGAGCAGAAGUGUUGACACAUUGA